ACCUUUUUUUUUUUUUUUUUUUUACACAUUUAGUGUUGAAGUAAAGUUUCUGUAUAUAUAAAGGAACAUGAGAGUGUGUGGCCAGUACAAUGACUUAUCACUGUAGUGCUACAGAUGUCCAGGAAAAUUGAAGCAGUGCUCAGAGUUUCUGACAUUUCACUAUUUGUUCAGACUUAACUAUGAACCCAGAAACAUGAGUUGAUAACACAGAAUAGGAAAGAAAAAGAAUCUACACUAGAUUUAUAUUCAGUCAUUAAAAAUACAAGCUAUUAAAUGAUGAUGUUAUGUUAUUAAACAAAACAAAAAAUACACUUGCCAACAUACAAUAUUUAAGAAAGAACAAACACAUAUUUAAUUAUAUUAUCAAUGGACACACAUUCUUUACUAAGAUCUAGGGGUCAAUCAAAUGAAUUCAUCGUUUUUUUUUGGGGGGGGGGGGGG